AUGGCGACGGGCCACCUCCGUGCCUUCCUGGUUUUCGUCCUCGUGCAGGUCUGCCUGCUCCUGAUCAUGGUCGCAUCGGCGAGGGUGCAGAGCAGGCCUGUGGGCUUGGACGGGAUUCCCCAGUGCUGCCUCUACCACCCCGAGUGCUGCCAGCGCCUGACGGCGGAAGCCCGGCUCCCCGCCGCCGUUCUUCCCUGA
rnacentral:rRNA from 1 species